AAAAGCAAGUAUUUGCAAAGUUUGUUAACUGCGGUGGUAGCUCAACUGGUUAGAGCACCCGCCUGUAGACGUGCAGCUUUCCGUACGAAAGUCGGAUUGAAACUCUCCUGGAUAUCGGUGAAGGCUAAGUCUUUAGGGAUAUGCGAAUACCGAGGGAACCCUAUAUAUAAAAACAAAUAGUAUAGGGGCUCCGUAGAGACUAGAUACAGGGGUACCUAAAAGUUUUUUACUCAAGGUAAAGAUAUAGUCCACGCCAUUAUGAAAAUAUUGG
rnacentral:ncRNA from 1 species